UACGGAGGGAGCUAGCGUUGUUCGGAAUUACUGGGCGUAAAGCGCACGUAGGCGGCUUUGUAAGUUAGAGGUGAAAGCCCGGGGCUCAACUCCGGAACUGCCUUUAAGACUGCAUCGCUUGAAUCCAGGAGAGGUGAGUGGAAUUCCGAGUGUAGAGGUGAAAUUCGUAGAUAUUCGGAAGAACACCAGUGGCGAAGGCGGCUCACUGGACUGGUAGUUGACGCUGAGGUGGCGAAAAGCGUGGGGAGCGAACAGGG
rnacentral:rRNA from 1 species